YUCGGGACUMGAYCCUCCCACSCUCUGUGUAUAUACCUCUGUUGCUUCGGCGGCUCCCGCGGCAUACGGUAGUGCUCCACACGCCGAGCCCGGCCCGCCAGAGGCUCAUUUAAUUCCGACUUAUCAGUGAUGUCUGAGCACAAUGCAAAAAUAAAUCAAAACUUUCAACAACGGAUCUCUUGGUUCUGGCAUCGAUGAAGAACGCAGCGAAAUGCGAUAAGUAAUGUGAAUUGCAGAAUUCAGUGAAUCAUCGAAUCUUUGAACGCACAUUGCGCCCUCUGGUAUUCCGGGGGGCAUGCCUGUUCGAGCGUCAUUACACCUCUCAAGCUCUGCUUGGUAUUGGGCUAUCGUCCCCUGUGGACGGGCCUGAAAAUCAGUGGCGGUCCCGCCGGUACUCAAGCGCAGUUAAUUAUCUCCCGUUUUGGAGUCACCGUUUGGACCCGCCAGACAACCCUAAUUGUAUUUCAAUGGUUGACCUCGGAUCAGGUAGGGAUACCCGC
rnacentral:rRNA from 1 species